rnacentral:rRNA from 1 species
CAGUAGCCGCGGGAAAACGUAGGGUGCGAGCGUUAAUCGGAAUUACUGGGCGUAAAGCGUGCGCAGGCGGUUGUGUAAGACAGGUGUGAAAUCCCCGGGCUUAACCUGGGAACUGCGCUUGUGACUGCACAGCUAGAGUAUGGCAGAGGGGGGUGGAAUUCCACGUGUAGCAGUGAAAUGCGUAGAGAUGUGGAGGAACACCGAUGGCGAAGGCAGCCCCCUGGGCCAAUACUGACGCCCAUGCACGAAAGCGUGGGGAGCAAACAGGAUUAGAUACCCCAGUAGUCCCUGUCUCUUAUAA